rnacentral:misc_RNA from 1 species
AAGGAGCAUCUGGCACCCUCGGGUGUCCAGGCGCCGGAUCUGAGCGAACGUCUCAGCCGGUUAGCUCAUGGGUGGAACAUUGACAUUGGUGCGGAGCCGAACGGCUCGAACUCAGUACAUCUCUUGCAGAUAGGAAAGGUUCGGACCCGGAAGCCCCGCACAUGCACGCUGUUGGGUCCUGAGGGACCGGACCUCAUCCAGUCGGAUGAGAACCGAAUCCUCUGGACCUUUUCUAGUCGGCCAUAACUCGGCCGGCGGAGAAGGUACCGCCCGUACUUUGAGAACUACACAGUGGACGCGAGCAUCUUAGAUUCGAACCUUCGGGUUCGGAUCACAAAGAUGAUCACAGUACUUAUGUACUGAUAGAUCAUUGGUCAAUCUGCUCAUCUUCGGAUGAGUCGAUCGAUUCUAAAACUCAUGUGAUUUCAAAUUUCUAAGAGCAAACGGUGGAUGCCUUGGCAUCUGGAGCCGAAGAAGGACGUAGUAAUCUGCGAUAAGCCUCGGGGAGCUGAUAAACGAGCUUUGAUCCGAGGAUCUCCGAAUGGGGAAACCCCGCUGGGCCCGCAAGGUGACCCAGUGACUCCC